rnacentral:rRNA from 1 species
CCUACGGGAGGCAGCAGUGGGGAAUAUUGGACAAUGGGGGGAACCCUGAUCCAGCCAUGCCGCGUGUGUGAAGAAGGCCCCCGGGUUGUAAAGCACUUUCAGUGAGGAAGAACGCCUGGUGGUUAAUACCCAUCAGGAAAGACAUCACUCACAGAAGAAGCACCGGCUAACUCCGUGCCAGCAGCCGCGGUAAUACGGAGGGUGCGAGCGUUAAUCGGAAUUACUGGGCGUAAAGCGCGCGUAGGUGGCUUGAUAAGCCGGUUGUGAAAGCCCCGGGCUCAACCUGGGAACGGCAUCCGGAACUGUCAAGCUAGAGUGCAGGAGAGGAAGGUAGAAUUCCCGGUGUAGCGGUGAAAUGCGUAGAGAUCGGGAGGAAUACCAGUGGCGAAGGCGGCCUUCUGGACUGACACUGACACUGAGGUGCGAAAGCGUGGGUAGCAAACAGGAUUAGAUACCCGUGUAGUC